UUUAGGUACCAGGGAUCGAGCUCAGGUCCUUGAGCUUGCGCAGCAGGCGGUGAAACCAGUGAGCUGAAUCCCCGGCCCCCCGAGUUGUUUUCUUUAAGGAGUGGCCCUGGGAGAAUAAAAGCAGACCUUAGAACUGGGGACCUAUCUUGCAUCUCAUGGCUUCUGCUGCUGUCUGCUUGAUGGAAAUCAGCCACAUAUGGAGAUUAUUUGCUGCUUCUGUCUGGCAAGAACUAUUUCUCCUCCUAGAUGCCCCUCUGCCAUGCCACCCUGACUUGAAGCCAGCCAGCCAUGGACUAAAACCUCUACAAACUGUGAG